UAUGGGAUGGUGUAUGGUGCACAAAAGAAUUUGGAUCUUUAAGUGAUAGUUUAAUUUUAUCUUCUAUAG
rnacentral:tRNA from 1 species